rnacentral:rRNA from 1 species
GAUGAACGCUGGCGGCGUGCUUAACACAUGCAAGUCGAACGGAGCACCCUGACGGAGUUUCGGACAACGAAAGGGAAUGCUUAGUGGCGGACGGGUGAGUAACGCGUGAGUAACCUGCCUUGGAGUGGGGAAUAACAGCCGGAAACGGCUGCUAAUACCGCAUGAUGUAUCUGGAUCGCAUGGUUCUGGAUACCAAAGAUUUAUCGCUCUGAGAUGGACUCGCGUCUGAUUAGCUAGUUGGUGAGGUAACGGCUCACCAAGGCGACGAUCAGUAGCCGGACUGAGAGGUUGGCCGGCCACAUUGGGACUGAGACACGGCCCAG